CCCUUAGAUGUUCUGGGCCGCACGCGUGCUACACUGAGUGGAUCAGCGGGUCAGGUUACGCGAGAGCGUUUCCUAAUCUUCAAUCCGCUCGUGAUGGGGAUUGACGGUUGCAAUUUUCCGUCAUGAACGAGGAAUACCUUGUAAGCGCGGGUCAUCAUCCCGCGCUGAAUACGUCCCUGCCCUUUGUACACACCGCCCGUCGCUCCUACCGAUUGAGUGGUCCGGUGAGGCUUUGGGAUCUAAGCGAAAAGAGCGUUUCGCUCCUUUUGCUGGGAGAACUCAGUCGAACCUUAUCAUUUAGAGGAAGGAGAAGUCGUAACA
rnacentral:rRNA from 1 species